GAAAUACAAUCUUAUAUUGCUGAAAAUAUUGCUAAUUUUUUUUAAAAGGCCACUCUAUAAACAUAUUGGCCUUCCCAUGGGCACUCACCCGCUCGCUGAUUGUUGAUUCAGGUCUUCCAGAAGAAGGUACCACAAUUCCUCCAUCUAUCAUUUGUGUGCUCUGAAUAGAUUUGUAACUCGUGAUUCCUAAGUGAAAUAUCACAGAAGAUCACUGGUUCCAAUUCCAAAUGUUGCCAAAAGGAUAUUGUCAAAUAUACCAUGAAGAAGAAGCCACUUACAUGGAUAAAGAGCAACAUCUACUUAGGUGCUGAGAUACCCUGCUGCAUAGUAGUUUGAAAUAUAUUAACUAAGAGCUUCAUACUACUGAUCCUUGAGAUUCAGUUUCUGCCAGCAAGUUCUCAUAGUUAACUAUAUUUUUUAUUUAUUUAUACAUUGUCAUGUGCUGCACGGAGAUGUUGUUAUAUUUUAUUCUAAUAAUGUAUCCUGCAUCACUUUUUUAUACUCAAUGAAAGCUUAAGAUUGCACGCAUUU
rnacentral:lncRNA from 1 species